AGAGUUUGAUCCUGGCUCAGAUUGAACGCUGGCGGCAUGCUUUACACAUGCAAGUCGAACGGUAACAGGCCUUCGGGUGCUGACGAGUGGCGAACGGGUGAGUAAUGCAUCGGAACAUGCCCAAUCGUGGGGGAUAACGUAGCGAAAGUUACGCUAAUACCGCAUAAGUCCUGAGGGGGAAAGGAGGGGAUCGCAAGACCUUUCGCUUUCGGAGUGGCCGAUAUCAGAUUAGCUAGUUGGUGGGGUAAAGGCCUACCAAGGCAACGAUCUGUAGCUGGUCUGAGAGGACGACCAGCCACACUGGGACUGAGACACGGCCCAGACUCCUACGGGAGGCAGCAGUGGGGAAUUUUGGACAAUGGGGGAAACCCUGAUCCAGCCAUGCCGCGUGAGUGAAGAAGGCCUUCGGGUUGUAAAGCUCUUUCAGCCGGAAAGAAAUCGUGCAACCUAAUACGUUGUAUGGAUGACGGUACCGGAAGAAGAAGCACCGGCUAACUACGUGCCAGCAGCCGCGGUAAUACGUAGGGUGCGAGCGUUAAUCGGAAUUACUGGGCGUAAAGCGUGCGCAGGCGGUUUUGUAAGACAGAUGUGAAAUCCCCGGGCUUAACCUGGGAACUGCAUUUGUGACUGCAAGGCUAGAGUACGGCAGAGGGGGUAGAAUUCCACGUGUAGCAUGAAAUGCGUAGAUUGUGGAGGAAUACCGAUGGCGAGCCCCCUGGGUCGAUACUGACGCUCAUGCACGAAAGCGUGGGGAGCAAACAGGAUAGAUACCCUGGUAGUCAAGGGCGAAUUCAGCACACUGGCCGUUACUAGUGGCCACUCGGUACCAGCUUGGCUAUCAUGUUUUUUU
rnacentral:rRNA from 1 species